GGGUUAAGUCCCGCAACGAGCGCAACCCUUGCCUUUAGUUGCCAGCAGUUCGGCUGGGCACUCUAAAGGGACUGCCGGUGUUAAACCGGAGGAAGGUGGGGAUGACGUCAAGUCCUCAUGGCCUUUAUGACCAGGGCUACACACGUACUACAAUGGCCGAUACAAAGGGCAGCGACACUGCGAGGUGAAGCCAAUCCCGUAAAAUCGGUCUCAGUCCGGAUUGGAGUCUGCAACUCGACUCCAUGAAGUUGGAAUCGCUAGUAAUCGUGGAUCAGCAUGUCACGGUGAAUACGUUCCCGGGCCUU
rnacentral:rRNA from 1 species